rnacentral:lncRNA from 1 species
AGAUAUGUAAGUAUAAAUAAAGCCAGAAUUACUUGUUUGUGCUUGAUCUGUUCUAUUUGAAGACUUCAUUUCUAGAUCUACUUCGAUUCAAAUCAAUUCUUCGAACCUGCCACAGGCUUUCCAAUUUUUUGUCAGAUGGAACGAACCUUGACUGUUUGAACAGCUUUUAAACCAUGGAGUGAACCCAGGCUUAAUUUCCCAGUCUGAGCUAGCCCUAGAGCUAUAGCAUAUUAGGCAGAGUCUUUCUGUAUACCUUCCUACAAGUAAAUCUUGCUCUCAUCUAAACCCAACUUUAGAACUACUAUAACCAACGUGCAUCAAAGUUGUAGCAUAACUGCAGUGACCUAUCUCUGGAGUGUGAUUUCCAAUGUGAUGAUUAUUUCAAAUAUUUUAGCUUUGUGAUAGAGAUGGGCAGGUACUCUGAGAAACCUCUUUUCAAGAGACAACAGCAAAGUUGGUGAGGCAUCACUCAUGCAUUAACAGAUCUGAAACUAAUUCAUAAUAGGCCUAUUAGUUGCUCUAAUUGCUUUUAUGCAUGUAUGUUCUUGCAUAUUUGCUGUACAUAAUUUGCCAAAGUGCUUUUAACUGCAGUUUGAAGUCAAUCUGAAGAUAGGCUUGGCCUAGCAAUAUCAUGCAAAACAACCCCUAUGCAACCAAAGUGUAUUUUGUCUCAACUUGAUAAAUAAUCAAUAGCAUGCAAGUCAAGGCAACCCCUAUUACAACCACAAGACAACCUUGAUUAUUACAAAUCUGCUUCUCAGCUUUUUGUCUGAUGCUUUGUCAGAGGAGACACCUCUUAGACAUGCUUAUCCAACCCUAUGAUCUUGCUGUCAGAAAAGAUGCUAAGG